AACGAACGCUGGCGGCGCGUUUUAAGCAUGCAAGUCGAACGGUAGGGUACCUUCGGGUGCCUGAGAGUGGCGAACGGGUGAGUAACACGUAGGUGAUGUACCCGAGAGUUGGGGAUAGCCCAUGGAAACAUGGGGUAAUACCGAAUAAUUUGUGCAAUCUUGUUUGCACAGGAAAGGGGCUCUUGGCCCCGCUCACGGAUCAGCCUGCGGCUUAUUAGCUUGUUGGUAGGGUAACGGCCUACCAAGGCGAUGAUAAGUAGCCGGCCUGAGAGGGUGACCGGCCACAUUGGGACUGAGACACGGCCCAG
rnacentral:rRNA from 1 species